AAUGAACGUUGGCGGCAUGGAUUAGGCAUGCAAGUCGGGGGAAUCCCAGCAAUGGGGGAACCGGCGUAAGGGGCAGUAAGGCAUGGGUACCUGCCUUGGGGUUCGGGAUAGCCAUCAGAGAUGGUGGGUAAUACCGGAUGACGUCGUGAGGCCAAAGAUUUAUCGCCCUUAGAGGGGCCCAUGUGAUAUUAGCUAGUUGGUGGGGUAACGGCCCACCAAGGCGAAGAUGUCUAGCGGGUGUGAGAGCACGACCCGCGCCACUCGCACUGAGACACUGGCGAGACACCUACGGGUGGCUGCAGUCGAGGAUCUUCGGCAAUGAGCGCAAGCUUGACCGAGCGAUGCCGCGUGAGCGAUGAAGGCCUUCGGGUUGUAAAGCUCUUUAGUGGGGGAGAAAAGCCGCAAGGUGUGAUCUAUCCCAAAAAUAAGCACGGGCUAAGUUCGUGCCAGCCGCCGCGGUAA
rnacentral:rRNA from 1 species